CUCACAAGAACAAAAACCGGAACAACAUUAGAGCACUCAGUUCCGCCAUAACAGUAUAACUUUGCAACGAGUGCUUUUUUUCAUUUUAUCGAAGAAAGCGUAAAACCUAGUUAUAUUAUUCUAUUAUGCCCAGAGAGUGUAAAUUUGGAACGAAUCGAUUUCAACGCUCACAAGAACAAAAACCGGAACAACAUUAGACUACUCAGUUGCGCCCUAACAGUAUAACUUUGCAACGAGUACUUUUUCUCAUUUUAUCGAAGAAAGCGUAAAAUCUAAUUAUAUUGUUCUAUUAUUCCCAGAUAGUGUAAAUUUGGAACGAAUUGAUGUCAACGCUCACAAGAACAAAAACCGGAACAACUUUAGACUACUCAGUUGCGCCUAACAGUAUAACUUUGCAACGAGUACUUUUUCUCAUUUUAUCGAAGAAAGCGUCAAAACUAAUUAUAUUGUUCUAUUACGCCCAGAGAGUGUAAAUUUGGAACGAAUUGAUGUCAACGCUCACAAGAACAAAAACUGGAACAAAAUUAGGCUACUUAGUUGCGCCCUAACAGUAUAACUUUGCAACGAGUGCUUUUUCACAUUUUAUCGAAGAAAGCGUCAAACCUAAUUAUAUUGCUCUAUAAUGCCCAGAGAGUGUAAAUUUGGAACGAAUCGAUAUCAACACUCACAAAAAUAAAAACCGGAACAACAUUUGAGUACUCAGUUGCGCCUUAACAGUAUAACUUUGCAACCAGUACUUUUUCUCAUUUUAUCGAAGUAAGCGUCAAACCUAAUUAUAUUAUUCUAUUAUGCCCAGAGAGUGUAAAUCUGGAACGAAUCGAUGUCAACGCUCACAAGAACAAAAACCGGAACAACAUUAGACUACUCAGUUGCGCCAUAACAAUAUAACUUUGCAACGAGUACUUUUUCUUAUUUUAUCGAAGAAAGCGUAAAUCCUAAUUAUAUUAUUCUAUUAUGCCCAGAGAGAGUAAAUUUAGAACCAAUCGAUGUCAACGCUCACAAGAACAAAAAUCGGAACAACAAUAGACUACUCAGUUGCACCCUAACAGUAUAACUUUACAACGAGUGCUUUUUCUCAUUUUAUCGAAGAAGGCGUCAAACCUAAUUAUAUUGUUCUAUUAUUCCGAGAAAGUGUAAAUUUGGAACGAAUCGAUGUCAAAGCUCACAAGAACAAAAACCGGAACAAUAUUGGACUACUCAGUUGCGCCCUAACAGUAUAACUUUGCAACGAGUGCUUUUUCCCAUUUUAUCGAAGAAAGCGUAAAUGCUAAUUAUAUUGUUCUAUUAUGCCCAGAGAGUGUAAAUUUGGAACGAACCGAUGUCAGCGCUCACAAGAACAAAAACCGGAACAACAUUAGACUAAUCAGUUGCGCCCGAACAGUAUAAUUUUGCAACGAGUGAUUUUUCUCAUUUUAUCGAAGAAAGCGUCAAACCUAAUUAUAUUGUUCUAUUAUGCCCAGAGAGUGUAAAUUUGGAACGAAUCGAUGUCAACGCUCACAUGAACAAAAAUCGGGACAACAUUAGACUACUGAGUUGCGCCCUAACAGUAUAAAUUUGCAACGAGACCUUUUUCUCAUUUUAUCGAAGAAAGCAUCAAACCUAAUUAUAUUGUUCUAUUAUGCCCAGACAGUGUAAUUUUGGAACGAAUCGAUGUCAACGCUCACAAGAAUAAAAACCGGAACAACAUUAGACUACUCAGUCGCGCCCUAACAGUAUAACUUUGCAACGAGUACUUUUUCUCAUUUUAUCGAAGAAAGCGUCAAACCUAAUUAUAUUGUCUAUUAUGACCAGAGAGUGUAAAUUUGGAACGAAUCGAUGUCAACGCUCACAAGAACAAAAACCGGAAGAAAAUUAGACCACUUAGUUGCGCCCUAACAGUAUAACUUUGCAACGAGUACUUUUUCUCAUUUUAUCGAAUAAAGCGUAAAACCUAAUUAUAUUGUUCUAUUAUGCCCAGAGAGUGUAAAUUUGGAACGAAUCGAUGUCAACGCUCACAAGAACAAAAACCGGAAUAACUUUAGACUACUCAGUUGCGCCAUAACAAUAUAACUUUGCAA
rnacentral:lncRNA from 1 species